rnacentral:pre_miRNA from 1 species
GUUGAGGGGAAUGCUGUCUGGUUCGAAACCAUUCUGUAAAGUGAUCCGGUCAAUGUUUCAGGGUCGAAUCUUAUACAUGUGUACGAAAACAGAUAUAGAUAAAGUUUGAUAUACGUUCAGAACGCACAACGUCUAAAUUCUGGAUUCUAUGUCGUAGAUCAGAGUUGAUGGUCAUUUGAUCAUGAGUGAUUUCGGACCAGGCUUCAUUCCCCUCAAC